rnacentral:rRNA from 1 species
GGGGCACUUGAAGAUGGCACCUCUCCACCAAAUUUCUUAACACCCAGAUACUUGGGGUUAGAGUCGCGGCCAUUUUUCGUUGACCCAGCAGUCUUUUUUGUGGCCCAACGCCUAAACACCAAGCUCAUUCCUCCAGAUGUCUCUGGAAUUAAGUACAUACAAAAUAAGGAUCAGGCCACUGGCCCAGAAAAGGAAGAAGAUAUAAAUUCUAAACUUUGA